rnacentral:rRNA from 1 species
UACAGAGGGGGCAAGCGUUGUUCGGAAUUACUGGGCGUAAAGGGCGCGUAGGCGGCCUGCUAAGUCGAACGUGAAAUCCCCGGGCUCAACCCGGGAACUGCGUCCGAUACUGGUGGGCUUGAAUCCGGGAGAGGGAUGUGGAAUUCCAGGUGUAGCGGUGAAAUGCGUAGAUAUCUGGAGGAACACCGGUGGCGAAGGCGGCAUCCUGGACCAAUAUUGACGCUGAGGAGCGAAAGCCAGGGGAGCAAAGCGGG